ACCCGCUGACUUAUCCGACUAAGUCCAGGACGUCCUCUUCAAUAACAUGCUCCGACCCUUGAGCUUGGGGCACUCCGCCAGGCACAUCUCGGGAUCCGAGGUGCUAGGUUUACCACACCACCCAUCAGGCCGACCUCAUCGAAUGCAUGAUGCGACCUCUCGACAUGCUCGAUCUCGCCAACGACUGCAAUGAUGUACGUGCCCAUGUCCUCCUACGUG
rnacentral:lncRNA from 1 species